rnacentral:tRNA from 1 species
GGGGAGAUAGCUAAUUGAUACAGUGUUUGCCUCACAUGCCCAAAGCCCUGGGUUCAAUUCCCAGCAUCACCA